GACAGAGGGUGCAAACGUUGUUCGGAAUUACUGGGCGUAAAGCGCGUGUAGGCGGCAGGGCAUGUCGGAUGUGAAAUCCCGUGGCUCAACCACGGAAGUGCACCCGAAACUGCCCAGCUUGAGUCUCGGAGAGGAAGGCGGAAUGCUUGGUGUAGAGGUGAAAUUCGUAGAUAUCAAGCGGAACACCGGUGGCGAAGGCGGCCUUCUGGACGAUGACUGACGUGAGACGCGAAAGCGUGGGGGAGCAAACAGG
rnacentral:rRNA from 1 species